rnacentral:rRNA from 1 species
GACAGAGGUGCCGAGCGUUAGGCGGAAUCACUGGGCUUAAAGCGUGUGUAGGCGGAUCCGUAAGUACCUUGUGAAAUCCCACGGCUCAACCGUGGAACUGCUUGGUAUACUGCGGGUCUUGAGCCACCUAGGGGCGAGCGGAACAAGUGGUGGAGCGGUGAAAAUGCGUAGAUAUCACUUGGAACGCCAAUGGUGAAAACAGCUCGCUGGGGGUGUGCUGACGCUGAGACACGAAAGCGUGGGGAGCAAACAGG